UUGGUGAACACUAGAGCUAGUGAAAAGAAGAGUUCGUUUGAUUUGUUUCAGCCCCAGGACCGAGGCGUUGAGGUGGCGUGACUGGCGUGAAUUCGGCGUGCCCUGUCUGCAAUCCUGCCUUUCAGUAAGGGGCAGUAAGGACAAGAUCCACCCACCACCCAGUGCAUGCUACAUAUGUGUGUGUAAUAAAUUGAGAGAUAAAGUGUG